rnacentral:snRNA from 1 species
GAGUUAGGAUUGCUCGCUCUAUA